rnacentral:lncRNA from 1 species
CCAGUACCCUUAGUAUAUACAAGGAUUGACAAGGGAACAGCUCCGCAUCCAGACAUGAAGUUCUUGGAGUUGUUCGCCGUCUUCGCAUUUAUUUGCCUGGCUGUCGCCAGGGCUGCAGGAAGAUACCGGUGAUGCCCACGAGCACCAGAAGCCGUGCGGUGUCAACGAAGAGUUCAAGGAGUGCCAGAGCAGCAGUUGCGCCGAAUGGCGUUGCGGGGAAGUGCGCGGCAGCCUGAGGCCCUGCACGGCCGACUGCCGGAACGGCUGCUUCUGUGCUGGGGAGCACUACCGGCAUCCGAACGGCACCUGUGUCCCGCACGAAGAGUGCCCUCCUUCGGCGGUUAAUAAGACGGAAGGAACCCGUGACGGUGAAGGCGGUGCACCGUUAUUCAAGUUCCCUCCCGACCCCGAGGAUUGUGACCCCAACGAGGUGUGGAAGCAGUGUGUGAGCAGUACGUGCGCCAAGACGUCGUGCAACAGGCGCACCGUGGACCCCACCUGCACGUACAACUGCAUCUACAGGUGCUACUGUGCC